rnacentral:lncRNA from 1 species
GCACGGGUAAGAGGAGGGUGUGGUAAUUAUACUUGCAGAAUGGGCAUUGUGUCAUUCGAAAUUGCUAAAACUGCAAAAAGAGUAACAAAUAUAGAGAUGUUACUACUCGAUUUUUCAAGCGGUCAAACUUUGUAAACAUUGGUCAUCAUACAUCAAAUAUAACUAUAAUAGGGUAAUGAGAAAGGAAAGGGUACACAGGUAUAUUUGUGCAGAAUGGACAUGGCAUAUUCACCUUUAUUCUAUUUUUAUUUAUUUUAAAGUGUUGCUAUUCCGGUUUUGCUAUUGCGUUAAAAAGUAAGCAAAGCUUAUGGCUAGAUUUGAAUUCUCUGCUCAUAAAUAUUGAUUUUGUAGCUAUUGCUCAAUUAAUUGACACAAUGUGGCUACUCGCAAAAAGAAUUAUGUCCACAAUGAUUAGAACACAUGCUUUGAAGAGGACCCUACCAACAUGAUACAUCUAUAAAUAGCAAGACUACUUUGAUAAUCAAAAGGUAGGAUUGUGCCUACAUAAAACCCAUCGGUUCUGAGGUAUGUUUUUAACCCCAUUUUUUCUGACAAAAGGUUGAGCACUUCAUAAAGCUUCUACACUAUCCGCAGUCAUAUAGUGAGCUAUGUGAGUCAACAAAUUACUACAGUGACAUUAUUAUAAUAGUAAAGCAUAUGUUAUUUAUUUAGCAGAAACAAUAUGUCAUACCCUGCAGAAAAAUGUAGUUUGUUUGGUGCAUCUGCUGAAGGCUUGAUAUCAUAUAUGCCACUGGAGGAGCAAAAGGACAAAGCAUCAGCAGCUGCAAUACGUAAUACAAAAGAAAAGAGCACUCAAUUUAAUGACCAUACAAUAAUACAUAUAUACGAUCUAUAUAAGAAACAAACCAACUUUAAUCUGGAACACAAAAGGCCACUUAGUUUCAGAUAAGAUUCUCUUAACAAAAUAACCCAACCGUAACAUGCAACAGAAAAUAGCACAACCUCAUCUUUAUAUAAGACGUGGAAACAACCACUGCAGACCACGCAUAGCUAACCCGAGGCUAAUGUGAGGCGUAGAACAUACGGCAACACACAUGCAUUUCAUCGAGGAGCACACGCGCAUUUCGUCAAACACCUCACAGACAAGCACCCAUAGAGAAGUAGAGGAGCCGUGCACUAACCUCGACGGCAAGGACAGAACGACCCAAGCUCCUACACCAGAGACAAGACGAAGGCAAGGAAACUGCACACGAAGGGAAGAAACGGAAGAGGGCGAGAUCAGCAAACCGAAGGAAGAAUAGAAGGGAAGAACACGAGAAGAGCAGGAGGAACCUCAACCGUCAG